AGAGUUGCAAACUCCCAACCCUUGCUAAACAACCACUGUUUCGUCGGCGGGUGGCCUCCUGGCCGCGCGCACCCUCCUCGUGGGGGGGACGCACCCCGCCGGAGCAACACUAAACUCGUGUCAUUACUGAUGCUCUGAGUAACAAAACAAAAUUAUUAC
rnacentral:misc_RNA from 1 species